rnacentral:rRNA from 1 species
GAUGAACGCUGGCGGCGUGCCUAAUACAUGCAAGUCGAGCGAACGGACGAGAAGCUUGCUUCUCUGAUGUUAGCGGCGGACGGGUGAGUAACACGUGGAUAACCUACCUAUAAGACUGGGAUAACUUCGGGAAACCGGAGCUAAUACCGGAUAAUAUUUUGAACCGCAUGGUUCAAAAGUGAAAGACGGUCUUGCUGUCACUUAUAGAUGGAUCCGCGCUGCAUUAGCUAGUUGGUAAGGUAACGGCUUACCAAGGCAACGAUGCAUAGCCGACCUGAGAGGGUGAUCGGCCAAACUGGAACUGAGACACGGUCCAGACUCCUAAGGGAGGUAGCAGUAGGGAAUCUUCCGCAAUGGGCGAAAGCCUGACGGAGCAACGCCGCGUGAGUGAUGAAGGUCUUCGGAUCGUAAAACUCUGUUAUUAGGGAAGAACAUAUGUGUAAGUAACUGUGCACAUCUUGACGGUACCUAAUCAGAAAGCCACGGCUAACUACGUG